GACAGAGGUGCCAAGCGUUAGGCGGAAUCACUGGGCUUAAAGCGUGUGUAGGCGGAUUGGUAAGUACUUUGUGAAAUCCCACGGCUUAACCGUGGAACUGCUUGGUAUACUGCCAGUCUUGAGCCAGCUAGGGGCUACCGGAACAAAUGGUGGAGCGGUGAAAUGCGUAGAUAUCAUUUGGAACGCCAAUGGUGAAAACAGGUAGCUGGGGCUGUGCUGACGCUGAGACACGAAAGCCAGGGGAGCAAACGGG
rnacentral:rRNA from 1 species